AGUGAACGCUGGCGGUAGGCCUAACACAUGCAAGUCGAACGGCAGCACAGUAAGAGCUUGCUCUUACGGGUGGCGAGUGGCGGACGGGUGAGGAAUACAUCGGAAUCUACUUUUUCGUGGGGGAUAACGUAGGGAAACUUACGCUAAUACCGCAUACGACCUACGGGUGAAAGCAGGGGAUCUUCGGACCUUGCGCGAUUGAAUGAGCCGAUGUCGGAUUAGCUAGUUGGCGGGGUAAAGGCCCACCAAGGCGACGAUCCGUAGCUGGUCUGAGAGGAUGAUCAGCCACACUGGAACUGAGACACGGUCCAGACUCCUACGGGAGGCAGCAGUGGGGAAUAUUGGACAAUGGGCGCAAACCUGAUCCAGCAAUACCGCGUGGGUGAAGAAGGCCUUCGGGUUGUAAAGCCCUUUUGUUGGGAAAGAAAAGCAGCAGGUUAAUACCCCGCUGUUCUGACGGUACCCAAAGAAUAAGCACCGGCUAACUUCGUG
rnacentral:rRNA from 1 species